GUGAUCUUCAUCAUAAGACAGGAGCUUUUAUUUUGGAGUGUUUGCCCCACGAAUGACUGAUCAUAUUUUUGCACCAGAAUCCCCAACAUCCUGGUAUUUUCUGCACCAUGCAAUCAAUCUCUUUGUGGCAAAAGCUGGAGACUCCUCAACACAGAGGAGGAGAUGGAUGAAGAAAAAUACAUUACAAUAUUUUAACAGAUAGCUGUUUCUGCUGCGCUGUGACUUUCAGCACCGUCAGGCCCCUGCCGGAAUUCAGCCUCUCUGAUUCGUUGCUGAUGACGGAACCAUCUUCACUUGGCAACUUGCUGUGGGUAACCAUAGCAACAGUAAAAGGCGGUAAGCU